rnacentral:rRNA from 1 species
UACGGAGGAUGCAAGCGUUAUCCGGAAUGAUUGGGCGUAAAGCGUCCGCAAGUGGCUAUGUAAGUCUGCUGUUAAAGAGUCUAGCUCAACUAGAUAAGAGCAGUGGAAACUACAUGGCUAGAGUGCGUUCGGGGCAGAGGGAAUUCCUGGUGUAGCGGUGAAAUGCGCAGAUAUCAGGAGGAACACCAGUUGCGAAGGCAGGCUCUGGGACGUAACUGACGCUGGAGACGAGAACGUGGGGAGCAAACAGG